UUCAUGAGCCUACAUGUAGUGAGAAUGAAGGAGCAGUGUUGCCAUAAUGGAAACAUUAUGUGGCCAGGUGAUCAACAUGUGCCUCCCACACAGACAUUCCUGCAGUAGCCUGGAUGCUGGCCAAGGUUAACUGCAGUCCCUGGGACAGAUGGGCAACUCUGAGCACUGCCUUAGUUGCAGGAGGGGCAGUUUGUCAGCACAUCGUAUAUCACAGGUG